GGCCUGAAAAUGUGACAGGAUCAUGAAUGUCAAAGGUGAAGCAUAUAGAAAAAACGACUUCAUAGAAAUGAAUAAAGAUAAAUGUGGAUAUAUGUACCAGUCUGGUGGUGAAGAAAUUCUGAAACCCAGAACUUUAUAACAAGAAAAAAAUUUUUUAACCCUGUGAAGAAGUUUGUGAAAGAAACUUGUGAAGUAGUAAUAAUUAGAAAAAAAACCAUUAAAACACCAGAGAAAAUACAUAGAAAAAUUUGAGAAAUUGUCAUUUGAUUUCUGAAUAAGAGCUUACAGGUGUCCUGUGAGUAUUGAAACAAUGAAAUGUAGUGAUUUUAAUUUUGAAAAGAAAAUCUUAAGGAAAGUAACUUGACACCCAACCAUCUUGAAGAGGGUAUUUGAAAUGCUGUAAUUUUAUCCCAGCUUUGUUCAGCCAUGACAAAAGUGACCUGUCAGAUGCUUAGUAUUGUAAUAACCUCAUUUCCCUUUCCAAAUUUAGAGUAUCUUUAAUACUAUUUUUUUUAGACAGAGUCUCAAUCUGUCACCCAGGCUGUAGUGCAAUGGCUGCAGUCUUGGCUUACUGCAACCUCCAUCUCCCGGGUUCAAGCGAUUCUGCCUCAGCCUCCUUAGUAGCUGGGAUUACAGGCGUUAGCCAGCACACCCAGCUAGUUUUUGUAUUUUUAGUAGAGACAGGCUUUCACCAUGGUCUCGAACUCCUGACCUCAGGCGAUCCGCCUGCCUUGGCCUCCCAAAAUGCUGGGAUUAUAGGCGUGAGCCAUGGCACCUGGCCUAAUACUACUUUUAACUACCAUUUUCACUUUUUAUUAGUUCAAGAAAAGGCAUACACAUUUAUUCAACAUGUAUACAUGGGGAGAACCAGUCAUUACCCUGAUGUUCAUUAUUUUGAUCACCACGAUAGAGCUGACUACUCUGCUAUGUAGUGCAUUUUGGGACUGCACUUAUGUAUGUUUUUGUUUAACGUGGACAAAGACUUAUAGAUAGGUGCAAAAAAUAAAUCCUCUUUUGCAACCCAGAACUCAUUGUUCAGUAUGAGUUUUGAUACAUAUAAGAAGGGAUAUUAUGAUACCUGAGACAGUUGAUUGAUGGGAGUAUUGAUAGCCAUAAAGGUUGGUUCCCGGCCAGGUGCAAUGCGUCAAGCCUGCAAUCCCCACACCAAGGUGGGAGUAUUGCUUGAAACCAGGAGUUCAAGACCAGCCUAGGCAAGAAAGCUUUUAUCUUGAGAACAUGGUGUCUGGAGUUAAAGAUAAUCUACUUUUUUACCUUAGGUAUUGGCAUACUCCACACAUCUGUACCAUUCUUGAGUGAUCGCUUAGGAAUGAAUGUGAUUUGAACUCAUUCAUGUUGAGAGGGUGUCAAAUUGAGAACCAGGCAGAUCCCCACCACCUACAGUAAAAAGGACCCUAAAGUAAAUUGGUUGAAGAAAUUAGAUCCCAAAGAUUCUUGGUGAAUUUUGAAGUCUUCAUCAGUAUAUCCAUAUUAAAACGAGAUGACAGAAGCCAAAGUAAUUAUGGGCUGACAGGACAACUGGAUCAGUUUCAUUAAAAAGGGCAAACUUGAAGAUAAAUCUUUUGACUCCAGCUCUUUAGAGGAUCUAAAGUGACCUUGAUGGACAGUGGAAGAAAUCACAACAUGGAAUUCCUCGAAUAACAAUUUAUUGACUUUAAAUAAUUUUGUCUAAUGCUACAUAUACACAAUUAAAAAACCUUUACACUAUUUCUAGAA
rnacentral:sRNA from 1 species